rnacentral:rRNA from 1 species
UACGGAAGGCAGCAGUGGGGAAUAUUGCACAAUGGGCGAAAGCCUGAUGCAGCUAUGCCGCGUGUAUGAAGAAGGCCUUAGGGUUGUAAAGUACUUUCAUCGGGGAGGAAAAAACAAAACUAAUAAUUUUAUUUCUUGACGUUACCCGAAAAAGAAGCACCGGCUAACUCCGUGCCAGCAGCCGCGGUAAUACGGAGGGUGCUAGCGUUAAUCAGAAUUACUGGGCGUAAAGAGCACGUAGGUGGUUUUUUUAAAGUUCAGAUGUGAAAUCCCUGGGCUUAACCUAGGAACUGCAUUUUGAAACUGAAAUACUAGAGUAUCGUAGAGGGAGGUAGAAUUCUAGGUGUAGCGGUGAAAUGCGUAGAUAUCUGGAGGAAUACCUGUGGCGAAAGCGGCCUCCUAAACGAAUACUGACACUGAGGUGCGAAAGCGUGGGGAGCAAACGAGGAUUAGAUACC